CGUUGGGUCUUUCGCAAUGGAGCCUUGUGAACCCCGUCAGGUCCGGAAGGAAGCAGCGGUAAGCAAAUCCCUUCAUGUGCCGAAAGGGUGCCUGAUAUGC
rnacentral:SRP_RNA from 1 species